GACGAACGCUGGCGGCGUGCUUAACACAUGCAAGUCGAACGGAAAGGCCCUGCUUUUGUGGGGUGCUCGAGUGGCGAACGGGUGAGUAACACGUGAGUAACCUGCCCUUGACUUUGGGAUAACUUCAGGAAACUGGGGCUAAUACCGGAUAGGAGCUCCUGCUGCAUGGUGGGGGUUGGAAAGUUUCGGCGGUUGGGGAUGGACUCGCGGCUUAUCAGCUUGUUGGUGGGGUAGUGGCUUACCAAGGCUUUGACGGGUAGCCGGCCUGAGAGGGUGACCGGCCACAUUGGGACUGAGAUACGGCCCAGACUCCUACGGGGGGCAGCAGUGGGGAAUAUUGCACAAUGGGCGGAAGCCUGAUGCAGCAACGCCGCGUGCGGGAUGACGGCCUUCGGGUUGUAAACCGCUUUCGCCUGUGACGAAGCGUGAGUGACGGUAAUGGGUAAAGAAGCACCGGCUAACUACGUGCCAGCAGCCGCGGUGGUACGUAGGGUGCGAGCGUUGUCCGGAUUUAUUGGGCGUAAAGGGCUCGUAGGUGGUUGAUCGCGUCGGAAGUGUAAUCUUGGGGCUUAACCCUGAGCGUGCUUUCGAUACGGGUUGACUUGAGGAAGGUAGGGGAGAAUGGAAUUCCUGGUGGAGCGGUGGAAUGCGCAGAUAUCAGGAGGAACACCAGUGGCGAAGGCGGUUCUCUGGGCCUUUCCUGACGCUGAGGAGCGAAAGCGUGGGGAGCGAACAGGCUUAGAUACCCUGGUAGUCCACGCUGUAAACGGUGGGUACUAGGUGUGGGGUCCAUUCCACGGGUUCCGUGCCGUAGCUAACGCUUUAAGUACCCCGCCUGGGGAGUACGGCCGCAAGGCUAAAACUCAAAGGAAUUGACGGGGCCCCGCACAAGCGGCGGAGCAUGCGGAUUAAUUCGAUGCAACGCGUAGAACCUUACCUGGGUUUGACAUGGAUCGGGAGUGCUCAGAGAUGGGUGUGCCUCUUUUGGGGUCGGUUCACAGGUGGUGCAUGCCUGUCGUCAGCUCGUGUCGUGAGAUGUUGGGUUAAGUCCCGCAACGAGCGCAACCCUUGUUCACUGUUGCCAGCACGUUAUGGUGGGGACUCAGUGGAGACCGCCGGGGUCAACUCGGAGGAAGGUGGGGAUGACGUCAAGUCCCCAUGCCCCUUAUGUCCAGGGCUUCACGCAUGCUACAAUGGCUGGUACAGAGAGUGGCGAGCCUGUGAGGGUGAGCGAAUCUCGGAAAGCCGGUCUCAGUUCGGAUUGGGGUCUGCAACUCGACCUCAUGAAGUCGGAGUCGCUAGUAAUCGCAGAUCAGCAACGCUGCGGUGAAUACGUUCCCGGGGCU
rnacentral:rRNA from 1 species